UUCCUUCUGUAAUAGAUUAUUUUUUGACGAAGUAUUUUCUUGCAAGUAAUCAUCAUGUUGGCAUUUCCAAUAAAAGAAAGAAAACAGAUGUCUACCAAAAUCAGAUAUUUACCAAAAGGUUGGCUCAUACAACACUAUUCUAGGUGAAUACUGUUGCAGAGCUUCAGGAAAAUCGAUGGUAUAAGGACGUGACUCGAUAUUCUCCCACGCCUUCAAGGUGUUACAAACUUCAUCAUUU